rnacentral:piRNA from 1 species
UGCCAACGCGCCAGUCCAGGAUCUGCCU